rnacentral:rRNA from 1 species
UACGGGGGGGGCAAGCGUUGUUCGGAAUCAUUGGGCGUAAAGGGCGCGUAGGUGGUUCUGUAUGUCUAUCGUGAAAGCGUACGGCUCAACCGUAUUUUGUCGGUAGAAACUGCAGGACUUGAGGCUGGGAGGGGCUGGUGGAAUUCCCUGUGUAGCGGUGAAAUGCGUAGAGAUGGGGGAGAACACUCGUGGCGAAGGCGGCCAGCUAGACCAGUUCUGACACUGAGGCGCGACAGCGUGGGGAGCAAACAGG